UGCGGGAUGGAGCAGCGGUAGCUCGACGGGCUCAUAACCCGUAGGUCGUUGGUUCGAAUCCAACUCCCGCAA
rnacentral:tRNA from 2 species